rnacentral:rRNA from 1 species
CCUACGGGAGGCAGCAGUGAGGAAUAUUGGACAAUGGGCGCGACCCUGAACCAGCCAAGUCGCGUGAAGGAUGACUGCCCUAGGGGUUGUAAACUCUUUUUAUAAAGGAAUAAAGUGAUGCACGUGUGCCUUUUAGUAUUUACUUUAUGAACAAGGAUAGGACAACUCCGCGCCAGCAGCCGCGGUAAUAUGGUGGAUCCGAGCGUUACCCGGAUCUAUUGGGUUUAAAGGGAGCGUAGAUGGGUAGUUAAGUCAGUUGUGAAAGUUUGCGGCUCAACCGUACAAUUACAAUGGAUACUGGCUGCCUUGAGUACAGUAGGGGUAGGCGGAAUUCGUGGUGUAGCGGUGAAAUGCUUAGAUA